rnacentral:rRNA from 1 species
UAAGAGGUCCCGCCUGCCCUGUGACUUUAAGUUUAACGGCCGCGGUAUUUUAACCGUGCGAAGGUAGCGUAAUCACUUGUCUUUUAAAUGAAGACCUGUAUGAAUGGCAUCACGAGGGCUUAGCUGUCUCCCCUCCCCAGUCAAUGAAAUUGACCUCCCCGUGCAGAGGCGGGGAUAUUUACAUAAGACGAGAAGACCCUGUGGAGCUUUAGACCUAAAGUAAGCCAUGUUUAGUAUCCUGAGAUAUCAGUAAAAACUUAAUGGCAAUUAUUGAAGUGUCUUUGGUUGGGGCGACCGCGGGGUAAAACACAACCCCCAUGUGGACCGGGGAUAUUAUCCCUAAUACUCAGAGCCGCUACUCCAAGUAACAGAAAUUCUGACUUUAUGAUCCGGUAUAACCGAUCAACGAACCGAGUUACCCCAGGGAUAACAGCGCAAUCCCCUCUCAGAGCCCAUAUCGACGAGGGGGUUU